rnacentral:tRNA from 1 species
AAGGAUUUAAGUUAAGCAAACUAGCAGCCUUCAAAUCUGCAAAUAAAGGAAUUCUUUUAAGCCUUA